rnacentral:tRNA from 1 species
GCCAGAGUGGUGGAACGGCAGACACACCGGCUUUAGGUGCCGGCGCCCCUAGGGUGUGCGGGUUCGAGUCCCGCCUCUGGCA